UGGGGAAUAUUGCACAAUGGAGGGAACUCUGAUGCAGCGACGCCGCGUGAGUGAUGAAGGACUUCGUUUCGUAAAACUCUGUUCUAUGGGAAGAAAAGGACUGUACCAUAGGAGAAAGCUCCGGCUAAAUACGUGCCAGCAGCCGCGGUAAUACGUAUGGAGCGAGCGUUGUCCGGAAUUAUUGGGCGUAAAGGGUGCGCAGGCGGCUUUACAAGUUGGAUGUGAAAUAUUGUGGCUCAACCACAAGCGUGCAUCCAAAACUGCAAAGCUUGAGUUAAGGAGAGGUAAGUGGAAUUCCUGGUGUAGCGGUGGAAUGCGUAGAUAUCAGGAGGAAUACCGGUGGCGAAGGCGACUUACUGGACUUAAACUGACGCUCAGGCACGAAAGCGUGGGGAGCAAACAGG
rnacentral:rRNA from 1 species